AUUGAACGCUGGAGGCAGGCCUAACACAUGCAAGUCGGACGGUAGCACAGAGAGCUUGCUCUUGGGUGACGAGUGGCGGACGGGUGAGUAAUGUCUGGGGAUCUGCCCGAUAGAGGGGGGUAACCACUGGAAACGGUGGCUAAUACCGCAUAACGUCGCAAGACCAAAGAGGGGGACCUUCGGGCCUCUCACUAUCGGAUGAACCCAGAUGGGAUUAGCUAGUAGGCGGGGUAAUGGCCCACCUAGGCGACGAUCCCUAGCUGGUCUGAGAGGAUGACCAGCCACACUGGAACUGAGACACGGUCCAGACUCCUACGGGAGGCAGCAGUGGGGAAUAUUGCACAAUGGGCGCAAGCCUGAUGCAGCCAUGCCGCGUGUAUGAAGAAGGCCUUCGGGUUGUAAAGUACUUUCAGCGGGGAGGAAGGCGGUGAGGUUAAUAACCUUGCCGAUUGACGUUACCCGCAGAAGAAGCACCGGCUAACUCCGUGCCAGCCGCCGCGGUAA
rnacentral:rRNA from 1 species